rnacentral:rRNA from 1 species
UACGAGAGGCCCAAACGUUAUUCGGAAUCACUGGGCUUACAGAGUUCGUAGGCGGUACGGAAAGUGGGGUGUGAAAUCCCUCGGCUCAACCGAGGAAUUGCGCUCCAAACUACCGUGCUAGAGGAAGAUAGAGGUGAGCGGAACUGAUGGUGGAGCGGUGAAAUGCGUUGAUAUCAUCAGGAACACCGGAGGCGAAGGCGGCUCACUGGGUCUUUUCUGACGCUGAGGAACGAAAGCUAGGGGAGCAAACGGG